CUCUACUUCUGCUUCCCCUGCAGAAUCAGCCAGCUGAAGAGAAACAAACCAUUCCUAUCAGCCUAACAAGCUACUGACACUGUCUUCGUGAGAGAGACUCGUACUUGCAUUUCUCUUCCUCCAUGAAGAGUGUCAGACCAAAGACAAUGGGGACCCCGGCAGAUUCUGCAGCCUCUCCCGCCAAACACAUCUCUGAACACGUUCUCAUUGGACCAGAGCAAGCCUGGGAAAUUCCUAAGGAUCCCUCCAUGUGGAAUCCAAGGUUCCACCCUCCCUCACUGACCAGGACACGGAACAGGCCCAGACUCAAACAGGGAACGCUCUUUGCAUAACAUCCAAACCAGCUUAUGUCAGGCAGAUGGUGUCCUCACUGCUUCCAUAAAUGCGGAAAUGUUUGCAAAUGCAGCUACGGCACGCUGCACGGAUGCAGUAAGCACUGGACUCCUGUUUCCCUUUCUGGACUCUCAAAUGUGUUGCCCUCUUCUGAAUUAAUCUUUUCAAAUGCCUUGUACUCCUCUGGUGAAAAGCAUUUUAACCUGUUCUGUUUCAUAAAAGUCUCUCCAGACCCAGCAUUUCCACUUUAGGGCCUCAGAAAUGCCUUAUGUAUUAUUAGGUUGCAAUGUUUCCUUAUGGCUGAGUAACAAAUAACGAAUCUUAUCUUUCAGGUCUCAUUAAAAAAUCUGCCACAAAUUGGGAAUGGUUUUGAUUGAAUGUUAUGCAUCGGUCACUUUAGAUUUCUAUAUGCAUUGGGACCAACUUUUGACACAGAGCUCUAUAAACCAGAUAACUUCCCUAUUUUCCCAGCAAGAUGGGGCACCAAAGAAGUAGAGCCAUCCCCAAGAGGAAGGGUUACCCUGUGAAGCGCGACCUCCCACUCACCUUGCGUCUUGAAAAAAAGAGAAGAUGACAACCCACUAUGAUGGGGAGGGAUCUCUAUAUUGGUGACAGGCCAAAAUACAGAACACUUACCGCCCCUUCUAGCUCCAACAUUCUCAAGUCCCCUCUCUGCCCUCAGCCAGUAGCCAACUUACAGACUACACUUAAAAUGCAUCCCGAAAGUUUGUAAAGUUCCCUGAACGAACCAAUUCCCGUUCUAUCAAUAUUACUGGAUCUAAAUCACAAAACUAACUACAGUGCAGCUAGUCUAGGAUAGAGGCUUCUAUAUCUAACUGGAAAGCAAAUCCACUAAAUCUCCUUCUAGCUCCUGACCCUCCAUUUAAGGCAGAUACCAGCCCCCAUCUCUCAGAUCCUGUGACUUUUUAGAGUAUUAUAGAGCCAACAUUAGCAAUGCCUGUGUCUUGAGUUGUGUCAAUCUGAACUGAAAAUGUGCCAGCUUUACCACUGCUCACAGACUUCUUAAUUAACCUUCUGAUAUUGUCAAAAUCACAUUCCCUUUUGUUCUAGAAAUGAGCAUUUACAUGAGUGUUUUCCCCAUCACUAUGCUUUUUCACUAGCUAAGAUUUUACGGAAUCGUGAUGCUCUGUAUACACAAAGCAAGCAAGAAUUCUUCAGACAUCACACUAUAGAAUUUCUUUGCUGAAACUUGUUCAUGGUCCUUAUAUUCAUAGAGACUUCACCAAUGACUUUCAUCUCAUCAAUCACUCAUUGAAAAACUUUUGUUUUUUCUUUUUUGACCAAGCCUAUCACCUCAGAGCCUUGAUUACCUAACAACACUCUACUAAUUUCACCUUUUAAGAGUUCUCACCCUAGGCAUCCACUCAAUGAGUCAGGAGGAGAGAUGACAUCUUUCAUGCCCCUUUAUCUAUAAAAAUGCAAAAAAUGCAAGCCACCAAUCUGUCAGCCCUAAACAAAAUUUUCUGCAAUCUGUGUCUUUAACAUAAGCAAAGCAUAUAAUUCAAAAAAAAAAAAAAGGAACUUGCUUUUCUGAAGAAUAAGUAAGCCAAAGACAUUGUGUUCCAUCUUUGUGUUGAAAUGCAGAUUUCCCACUAAAAGGCAAAUCCUUCAUUUCAAAAGGUUGAAUAGGAUGAUACUUAAAAGAAAAGAAUUCCAACUGGUUAAAUUUAGGGUGUUGAAAAAAGUUCAUUCCAAUAAUAUUUUUUGGCUCUGGGCCCUAAGUAUUUUCACUUGAUCAUGAAUUAGAUAAAUUUUUAUUACAUUUUAAGCUCUUGCCUUAGAAUGGUGGAACUUCUCGAGGAGACUGGAAGGGCAGCUCAUAAGAAGACAAAUUGUUUUAGGACAGUCUUUUUUUUUCCUUUGUUUAACUGUGUACCUCACUAUGCAAGACGUGUGUACCCAGGAUAAAUUCCAUUCAUUCAUUCUUUCACACAUUCAUUCAACAACUAUUUACUGAGUGCCCGAACUCGGUGAACGAUUAUACUGCCCCAAGCAAUGGGCUACCUCUGUGGGCAACGCCAAGAAAAGUCAGACACAGACUUCCCUACAGGAGCCUCCAUCUAGUAGAGAAGAUAAGCCUGGAACGGAAUCGCUCUGCUCCAAAGUAAAAAGUGUGUCAUAAGAGAGGUACAGAUAAACUGAACGGAAAUUCAAAAGAGACAAAUAACUUCCAUUUGUAAGGGAGGAGAGUGGCUUUAGGCAAAAGGGAACUUAGGAACUGGACCUGCAGAGCCAAGAGGAAGGACUUUCUAGACAAAAGAAAAAAGCAGGUAUUGAUGCCCCGAGAGAAGCAAAGCUCGAGAUGUACCCAGAGCAAAUGGGGCCCAACAGGUAGUACAUUUAAAUCAAAAUAUUACUCACCAAUCCAUCCUGUUGAUAACAGAGGAUAUGGUCAUCUAAAUAAACCCUCUGAGGGCUUUUGUGAAGGAUUCACCUUCCACAACUUCUUAUUUUCAAACAUCACAUUUUCUUACAAUAAUGGAUGCAGCCACGUGGACGCUGGUGAAACUAUGAAAGGUCAUCUGUCCUGUUUUGUUUCCCCCCACCCUGAUUGUUUUGCCCCCUGAUGAGUGGUGAGUGGUCUACCAAGGCAGAAUUCACUGUGUUCUAUUCCUCUGAGUCAGACAAACAAGUGUUGAUAGCCAUGUUCUUCCUGCAACCCUGCCUCCCCGGUUUAAAUAAUCUAUUUCAGAUGUAGCACUGCCAGUUUCACAUGGGCUUGUACUUGCUGACACAUCUUCAACAAAUGACUGUGCAAGAAAGGUGGAGAUUUUCCUAUACCUCUGUGUCUCUUCAAUCAUCACCUUGACCUUCCCUCCAAAUUUCCCCCCUUUCUUCUCUUCAGAGCCACGGGAAGAGCGGGGGUAACCUUACUCCCACUCUGAGUCCUCAUUGGAGGACGUUGUUUGUGUGUGGUGGGGUGUGAGGGAGUGUACAUGUGUGGGCACAGGCUUGCUUCUACCUGAGGUUAUUUUUCAGGUUAUUUGGGGGAAUUAGGGAACUACUUUUAAAGAGGCCUUGCCCAAUCCAUUCCUUCAUGGGUCCCACUGAAACUCUCUCCGGAUUCCUUUCUUCCUUCAGGAUGUUAGGGACUCAUUCCUCUGGAGAGAGCUGCUAGAACAAAAUCAGGAGUUUAAGUUCUUCAAUCCCAACUCUGCCAUUCCCGGCUAAGCAUGACUUUGAGUAAAUCCCUUCCCCUUUCUGGCCCUAAGUUUUCCCAUCUUUAAAAAGAGAAGACUGGAUUAAGAUGGAUGAGUUCUUUCUCCCAGGCCAGUCUUGAGUCUCCCUGAGACCAGAUCAAGGGCAGGAGUCUUGGACGCAGUUAAGAGACCUACUAUGGGCCAUCCUAGAAGCUGGCCAGGAUGGGCCUACGCCCCUUAUGAACUUGCAGGGAUGAGAAAAAAACCUACAGGCCUCUGUGGGCUGGGUCUGGUCCCCAGGCUAAUUCUUAGACUCAGAAAGUAGGCCUGGUGGUGGUUUUCAACCUCCUGGGGCACAGUCGCGCAAAGCUUACCUGUCUAAGUUUCAAGCAGGAAACCUAGGUGAGUCCUGAGCCACAGAGACUGAAGGUCAGAGAGAACCAGGAAGAAACUUCCCACAAACUCAGGCUAAACGUCAAGGGGAAAGGUCUCUGUUGCCCGUGCCCGAAGGCCAGUGGCAAAGCUUGGCCUCAUGUCAGAGCCUGGUACCCACUGCACAUGAGGGCACGCACAGGACUCUAAGAAAAGCCAGAAUCCUCUCCCAGCCCCCCCAAACCAGGGAGGCAAGGCCCCAGAGUCCUGUGGUCCCUGCCUCAGCCAACCUGAAGGGUUCCUGGAAAGCCAUGUGUAAACUGAAUUUCUGUAAACUGAAUCACAUUUGCUGACGGACGUAAUUUCAGGGAUGUUUCAUCACCCUUCCAGGCUCAUCGAAAAUUGGCAGGGCUUCUAACACUUUUACCUUUUAAGUGCUUCUUCCUCCACCCCCUCCCCAACCUCUCUGUCAAGUAGUUAAUGAUCUGUAAACAAACACUUUAAAUUCAGUGGGGGAGCUCACUAUUUAAAGGAACCCUGCGGGGAAACCUUUUGAAAAGUUAACAAUCUUUCUGUAAUGUGAAAAAUCACCCUCUAAUUUAUCAGUUUCCAUUGAUGAGAUUUGGUGUGUAUUGGGCUUUCUUAAAGUGGGGCUCAACUGCAGUACCUUUGUGGUUACAAGAAGGGGUGAGGAAUGAAAGAAGGUGAAGUCCUGAACGUGUUUCUUUUGCCCAAAUCAUCCAGUCUCACGCAAAUGUAUUCGCAGACCCCACUCACCGCACAGCGAAAGGAAGAAAAGGAUGGAAAAUCAUAGCCCCAGCACCUGGAAAGCCUUGAAAACUACACGUGUGUUCCCCAUGAUUUAAGGAUUCGAUGUCUGGGGGAACGAGCAUUUUCAACUGAGGGGAGGAAGGCCUUUGGGCUGUAAAGGUGGAUCCAGUGAGGCUGACCAUUUGCUCAGCAAACGUUUAAUUCUGAUAACACCAGCCAGGGCAGAGAAGGACUUCUCUAUCAAAGCAAGCAGAACAUGCAACUCCCAAAUUCCUCUGAAGAGGCCACCCCGAGCCUUUUUAUCUGUGUCAAUUACCAAAUGUAAUUUAUUGCCUCCCUAUCUCCAUUUUCAUCAGUCUAAGAAAAUACCAGAAUAAGUUUAAGAAAACCAAGCUUGGCACUUAUAAGAAGACCCCUGUUAUUUUCAGGCGUCCCUGGGCCUUGCAGAGGAAGACGUUUGUGGGAUGUGGGCAGUGAUGCUGCUGGAGGGGAGAGGCAUGGUUGGUAGAUGUGAGCAGGCCCAGAGAGCUGGAGAGUUUUCUGGUUUUAUCUUCCAGGACUGAUGUGUGCAACCUUCAAAGGAAACGGGCCCAGAAGCACGGGUAGCCUCCAAGCCUGGCCCUUUUUGAGAAAGUAUGUUGUGGCCGCUGUGGAGGGUUUUAUCUUCUUCCCAAAGCCUUCUCCUCACAUUCUGACCCCACAGUAAUCCUGUGGGAUGAGGGAAGGUGUUAUCCUCACCUCCCCAGGUGACAGAAGAUCUCAGAGGCACCCUGCUGCAGGCAAUGAGAGCAGAGCUGGAACUCAGAGUCCUGUCCACUGACUUGGGGACCAACCUUCGCCCCUCGUCACCACUCACUCACCUCACUCACCCCACCUCCGGGUGGGGUGAGGCAGAGUGUCCGGGCACUAGUCUUACAGCCACUUGCAGGCAAUCACUUGCCUUCCUGGGAUGAUAAAAUAGGGUGUGCGUGUCCAGGGAAAUGGGGAAGGCACACUCUAUGGGCCUAAUGUCCUGUGACAACCUUGGCCAAGAGAUUCUUAGAACCAGAACUGGCCAUUCUCCAGAAUUAAAACCUAUUAUGUCCUGUGGUUAAUACAGAACUGCUCAGAAAUUAUGAGAACUAAUUUAAGGCUUCAAAGCUCUACAAACUUAAAAAAAAAAAAAUGGUCUAGCAGGUCAGGCUCUGACAUUUCUUCAGGAACAAAACUAGGCUGCCCUCUUGCCUGAGGUGAGAUUGAAUCAAGGAGGGUUCUGGGGCUUCGAGGCCAGGCCUCGUCCCAUGGCAGAGAGUCCUUCUUUCAGAAACAGGCCUCUGCCCGCCCACACGCUCCUCCAGCUUCAGCUACCAUCUGCUCAGUCCCUCAGCACCUUCCUCCUCCGAGCCCUGGCCUCAGACCCAACCUCUCUGACAGCCCUACAGAACAAAGGCGAGGCAGACACAGCCUACUGACUGGUGGCCUAUUUUCUUGGCUUCAGAGAUAUUUUCCUGGCUUUUUACCCAAUUCCGAAUCCUUCAUUUAUCCCACUGACCAAAUUGGAAAGAAUUUCCUGAAUAAAAAUGGAGAUGCGCAUGUGUAUCACCUGCAGCCAUCCGAGGGGCCCCAGUCCAGCCGCAGGGUGGGUGCUGCUGGCCGUUCUCGGCUUACUAGUUCCGUUGAUACAACGGGGGCAACACCCAAAGUUAUCAGCCUCCUCCAAGCUCCUCAAACCAAGAACACACCAUCCCUUUCGCCCACUGGACAGGUCCACUUGGGAACUCAGCUUGUGGAGACCUGGCCUCUUUGGACCUUGAGGCCACCGUCCCCUUUCCCGUCUCCAUAGACAUCAAGGGCCCUCUGCCCACCCCCCUACAGGGGAGUCCCCAGUAUCAUUUCCUGUUUUGAAUCUAAGACUGUCUGGGCAAUGAGGCCUCAGCUAUACUCUAUUUCCAUGCAGCACCAGCAGUGAGACUGACCCGGAGCUGCCUGUGUCAAGGUCUCCCAGGUCCACUAGGAACAGAGACAAUUCCCUCUCCCUAACAGGCCCCUCAGGCUGAAAUCCUUUUGCUUCCAGAGCCUCAACUUUCCACUGCUGGGUAGAAAGCCCCCUCUGUCACCGGCCCACAGAUCUCCGCCACCAUCACGGCCCAGCCCUGUCAGGUGGUGGGAGUGUGGACAGCAGGGCGGGUGUGUUCAAAGAGGCCGACCAGGCAAGAACCAUCCUGUACUCCUGCCCUGGCUCUAACGCAAUAAAAUGUCUUCUAUCAGUGUAAUUCAAGGCAGAGUCAAGGGUCUGUCACCAUUUUAAAGAGGCUUAUUACAUGGCCACAAGAAUUUGCCUCGGGCUCAAACCUGGCAUGUAAGGUAUCAGCGUGGGACAGGUUCUUUUGAUUUGAUUUUAUUUUCUUACAAAAUAUGAAAAUGAAACGCUUCUGUCCCUCCCUUCCACCAACCGUUUUUUGAUUUAUGGGGAGGAGGAAAGAAAUCUGAAGUUGACAGGUUGGGACAACUCCACUCAGCUUUCUCACUCAAAAGCUGCUUUUGUUAAACCAUACUUUGCAUUUAUGGCCUGCGGCUCUUGGCUGACACGGCCACUCCUCCAGUGUGGAGCAGGCUGCGGACUUCCCCGGGAGGAGGCCCCACUGAGAUUACGUGCCCGCCUGCACCCAGGGCGGGAGCAUCUUGGCUCAGGGGGCGAGGGGCACCAAGGCCCCUGGUUAGACAAAGGCAAGGCCGGUGAAGGCUAUCCCACGCCUGGUCCCCAGCCUUACACUACGUUUGGGUCCAGGGCUCCACGCGAUCAUUAUGUAUCCACCACCACUGGUCCCAACUAAAGUCCAAGCCUUCUGAGAAGCAACAGCGUGCUGUCCACCUCUCCUCGCCUGGCACCAUUCGGGGCAAAGAAGAGCCCCUUAAUCAAUACUCGUAAAUCAAGUGCUGUUCAGUGAACUUUUCUUCCUGGAGGGCGAUUCUAAAUGACCUGGCUGGAAGGAGCUGCCAAGGACCCAGCAGCGAUCAGGGGAACCUUGCCUUCCCGGAGUCGCUGAGGUCUCUCCCGUAAAUGAUUCACUAACCAAGGAGCCUCCAGGUCAGCCUUGACCCGGGAGAUGAAAGUGGCUGCAGGCCCAUCGGUUCACUGUAUAAUUUUGGCAACCUGUGAUUGUAUAUUUACUCAAUGGUCGUUAUGGACAAUCAAGUUAAUAAUUCACUUUCCAAAUGCUGUGUAAUUAUACAGUUAGAAGAGUUACAAUAGAUGUCAAAUUUCCUUAAGACUUCUGAUGUAUUGGUCCCAAUUACCUAGUUUGGGUCCCUUUCCUCUCCCUCUCUCAACUUUUUUUUUUUUUUUUUUUAGUAAUCUCCCACACUUUUCUCUAUUCUCAUUCCCCACCUACACCCCUAUCUUUCUGCCCCGAGAGAAAGAACAGUGUGAAGUCCUGCAGUUCAAGCAAUCCUAUUUAGAACACAUAGUUUUGCUCCACUAAAUAAGGCUAGCCUUGGAAGGCUGUCUGGAUGACCUCAUCUGCCUCCCUGCCUCCAAUGCAGGAGAACGCCUGCAGCAGCCCACAGCUCAUGCCCCAAGUUGCACCAGAUCCUGGCACAGCCCCGUGGAGGCCCAGAGAAGAGAGUGCAAAACCCUGGAGUGCUGGCUGGGGCUUCCCAGCCAAAUGACUGGCAUGUCGCUGCCCAGCCAGAGCUCCAGGCCCAAGCCCAGCCCCUGCCUCUGUUUGGGAUGCGCCGGAGAACAUGAGAGAAACACGUACACCCUGAAAACUAAAAUGAGGCAGGGAUCCCAGGAAAGGCAAAAACAUUCAGAACCCUGGGCCUCCUGUCUGCUUCCUAAGAGCUAAACUUGGCCCUUCAUUCCUCCUGUUUUGUGGUCUUCACACACACACCCCACCCAUCACAAGCAUAUAACCUGCUUUCAAGGCUCAAAGCAAUUUCUGCCCCCUAGUAGGGCAGUGUGGUCAGCUGACCCGGAUCACCCCAAGCUGCAGGGCCUGGCAGGGAAACCCAGGCAAGAUGUGAAUGUCCUUGAGCACAACCGGUGAAGGAGGAGAGGGACAAAGGUGACAGGAGGUAACUGCAGCAGAGACAAUAUUUUUUCUCCAUAUCAAUGAGUUUCUCUUUUUUUAAGUCAUUUUUUGGGUGCUCCACCCUCUAUACCUUUCUCUCUCCCACAUGCUCCAGCGCACACACAACCCAGGGCUCCUGUGUUUUAAAAGGUCUUCUCCCACCCCCUCUCCCCCAUCCCUGCCCCACAGAUGAGAUUAAUUUUCCAACAGAUUCCCCACCCCCAAAUUUUAUAUUAUGGUGGGAAAGUCUUUUGAUCAUCGUGGUGUUCUGGAAGCAUAAGAGCUAAGCAUGCUCUCUGGAAAGUGAAUUGGGACAGAAAAUUCUCAAAUUCAUGAAACCCACCUUAGAUACAGAAAACAUCUCCAGAACCUCCCGUCAGUUCUAAUCUUGGUGUCAAAAGAAUGGGGAUGGGGCUUCCCUGGUGGCGCGGUGGUUGAGAGUCCA